rnacentral:tRNA from 1 species
AGUGACGUGCCUGAAAAAGGGCAAUCUUGAUAGGAUUGAGCAUGUGGAGCGGCGGCCACCUUCACUA